UAAUAUGAUCAUAUCCCCUUAACCAUACCUACAUACUUGUACGUGUCUAUAACGGUCGAGAUAAUAGUGGUCAGUGGGGUAAUAUUAUGUUGUUUUUUUUUUUUCUCGAAUUUUAUUUUGACAAUGUCCAUUUUUUUAGAAUUACGGACUUGGUAAUUAGCAGACCCUAGGGGCCCUCUGUCCCUUCCCCUAUUCUAAACUUGGAAAUUUACAGCAUAGAACAAAUAAUAUGAUUUAGAGUAAGCCUCUAAUGACAAUAUUCAAUGAUGAUAAUUUCUAAUUAUAAAAGUUGGU